AGUAGAAUUUUCGGACCUUCACUACCGAAAUGGUUAAUUAUUUUCGGUAGUUACCUACCGAAAAUAUCAGAUAUUUUCGGUGGACAACCCCCGAACCCAGCUAAACAAUUCGGCUGGAAACCACCGAAUGUUCUUUUUACCCUGUUAUUUUUACCCAGCUUACUGAUUUAACAUGUUUGAACAGAAUAAUCAUGCAUCUACUAAAUGUGGCAAUGGUGGGAGUGAAUGUGUGUUAGAAACAACAAGUCACUUCACAACUAAGGAGGUAAGUAGUUUGAAAACUAACAAAUAAUUAACUUUUACAUCGGAUUGUGUGGUAAUAUAAAAAAUGAUUAUUUGUUUGCACAGGUAUUUAUGAAUCGAAAUGAAUUAAUUAAUUGGACUCGUGCAGAAGGAAGAAAGUGUGGAAUAGUUGUUGUAAUCAGGAGGUCUGAUUUUCCAGGGAAUUGUAGAUUACGAAGAGGGCGAAUAGUUUUUGGUUGUGAGAGAGGUGGUUGUUAUCAAAAGAAUAGCGUAGACUCAACAUCUUUACAAAAGAAGAAGCAUGAUGCGAGUUUGAAUCCUAAAAAGAAGAAGCGUCAUAGGAGUGGCGGUACAAAAAGGUGUGGUUGCCCN
rnacentral:lncRNA from 1 species